ensembl:lncRNA
UUUGGAUGUAAGUUAAGUGAUACCUUAAAUUGAAUGUGUUAUUGCAUAGUUCAUCUCCUGAGUAGCACUUAUGUUUAGCAGGAAAAGUAAAGCUCCUCCUGGCUCAUGUUUGCAUGAAGACUAAGUGCUUGUUAACUUAAAUCCCAGAAAAAGCCAGACGACGCAACUGGUGCAACUUCCUGCGUGGUUACAAAGAAGCCACCGAGUUUCUCCCGCGGCUGCAGGCAUUUGAGGCAACGCGGGAGUCAGCUUGAGUUCUCCCGCUUAGGAGUCGAUCCUACACACAGAUAUGUGGCUGACGGAUGAUCCGGGGGGACUGUUUGUGAGUGAAAAAAAAUGUGUUUUCUCCUCUGGGUUUAUGAAUCCCCAAGUGGAGCAGAUGUUUUAGUUUGACCGUGACUGGCUGUAUUUACUACAGCUGUGCAGAGAAGUUACUUCCACAGAUUGUAUUUUAAGCAAUUUCUAUUCUAAAACAGACCAGAGGAAUAACUGAGGUACACGACCCGCACAUCAAAGACUCAGACCCCCAAACAUUUGGAUUGAAUGAAAUCCAAUUUAUCAAAGAAGUUUCCCGUUACAAGAGCACAGAGAGAGGUUUGGAGAGCAUUUCCCAACACAUUGUAUUUACAUAGUCGUUUAUCGGUAUUUUCUUUACUCUGAGCAACCAAAAAAUGCUUAAAAUGUUUACAAGAGCAAUUAAAGUGCAACCACUUUACCUCUAAUACAAACAGAUAUUUCCGCUACUUGCCACCGCAGUAAAUGCCGUAAAACCAAAAUGUCCACACAACCACAGCAAAGAACUUAAGGGAAGGAAGAACAUUUAAUGAAAGCAACAUUUACUUAGAAAAUCUAACUGCACAGUAACACAUGGCAUCCAUUUUGACCACAAAACAUGCUUCGUGGAGAGGAAUUUGUACAACGCAUGGAAUGUAGUUUGACAUUUUCAUAGAAAAAUUCAUUAGAGCGUGUUCUUUUUUUUACUUGACAUUUUUUUCAUGGGACAAUAAUGACAGGUCCGGCCUUGAGCCAGCAGCAGUUAAUCAACUCCAAAUUAAAAGAAGUGCAUCUCUUAUGAAACUGAACAGAGGAGCUGUUAAGCCAAAAUAAAGUAACUCACCUUCUACCCUCUCUUCAUCCAUUCCCCUUAAAUUAAACAUUACACAUGCUUGCAGAUUUAAAGAAAAACCCUCAAUAUUGAUUACAACAUUGUAGCGUGUUGCAGAAUAAUAGUGUUGGUGUGUACAACACAUCUGUUGUUGAUAGAAGCCAUGAAAAGAUCCACAAUAAACAUGCCAAAGUAUUACAACCUCCUCCCAUGUCCAGCUGCAGCACGUUGGUGGGUUCAGUCUUCUUGAGAGGACGAUAGCAGGACGCAGGAUGCAGCGGUGACUCUGGAGGACCCAGACAGCCUGAACAACUGCUGCGAGCAGGUGUUUCUCCUCUUCCUGAGCAGCUCGGAACUCUCUACAGAGCCCCAUCUGAACCAGCGCUCCUUCCCGCCUGUAUCAGCAUGGUUCCGUAUUCCUGUUCAACGUAUUCAACGCAUUCGGAGCAGUAAAACCUCCUUUAUACCUUUCAAGUAAUCUGAAAUGUAAAUAUUAAUCCUGCCGUUUGAAAGCGUGAUUAUUCAGUAUUUGGAGAUAUUUUUCACAUGAUGUCUUCCCCUUGUGGAAGAACACAAGAACAACAAUAACAAGACAUUUCGACCUGAUCUGGGUUACUGUUGGCCACAUUGAAAUGUGAUGGAUAACUACGGAGAUCUCUGAAA